CGAACUGCCGUUGACAAAACGGAGGAAGGUGGGAUGGACGUCAAAUCAUCAUGCCCCUUAUCGUUCUGGGCUACGACACGUGCUACAAUGGCCGGUACGAGACGGAAGGCGAAGCCGCGAGGGCGGAGCAAAUACCGAAAAAGCCGGUCUCAGUUCGAAUUGCAGGCUGCAAUUCGCCUGCAUGAAGUCGGAAUCGCUAGUAAUCGCAGGUCAGCAUACUGCGGUGAAUACGUUCCCGGGCCUU
rnacentral:rRNA from 1 species